CUGAACUAGUGGAUUUCGCUUAAAUAUGACUGGACAAAAGGUUUAUUUUUUGUAUUCAAAGUAUGGUGGGCAAGUAAAUUAUUUAUUAGCUUAAAAAAGAUUGAUCCGUGCUAUAAAUUAACUUGUAAUUUUGAUCAAGUAGGCCCUAGAUCUCUAGCUUACGUUCUCACCUAGUGCAGAUAAAAGUAUUGCCGCAGAAUUUUUUUAUUAACUGUCCGGUAAGGGUUGGGUAGGGUAUACGACCUCAACUUUAGACCUACUUUAGAAAAAAAAAACUAAGCAGAACAACACCCUGGAUUUUUCUACUGUAGACCCCAGCUACCCAGCUUCCACCUAGGACAAUUUAUUACAUUUCGGUAAGGGUGGUUUCGACCCCAACUUUGGACCUAUCUUUGAAAAAAUAAUAAGCUAAACAGCAACCUUGAUUUUUUUUCCAGCAGACAUCAGCUACCAGCUCCCCUUUACACAUUGUGCGGACAGAAGUAUUUCCGUAGACAUUUGUUUAUUAACUUUUAUGUAAUGAUGGGGUAGGGUGGGUAACUGAGGUCCACUUGAAAAAAAUUUACAGGGACUCCAAUGUGGUGUGGUCUAUGCAGAACAAUUACCGGAAAUCUAUGGUAGUUUGCAAAAUAAUAGUCUUUUUUUAUAAUGUGAUAUGUAAAAUGUUGGCAAAUAAUGAAAGCACGCUUCUUAAUUAAUAGACAUAGAAAUAAAGAGAAACCGUAUGAUAACCAAUAACAAUCUCCCAGAGACAAACUAACGUUCAUUAAGGCAAC
rnacentral:lncRNA from 1 species